AUGACUGACCGCUUAUGUUUUGAAGCUUUGGAUAGGACAUUGAGAGAUGUUUUAUCUAUCCAUGAUGAGAAUAAUGGACUAUUGCCAUUUGGAGGGAAAGUGAUGCUAUUGGGUGGCGAUUUUAGGCAAAUUCUACCAGUUGUGGAGGACGUUAUUAAUGCGGCAUUGAUCUCUUCUCCGCUUUGGAAACACAUUAGGGUCCUUAAGCUUCAUACAAACAUGCGACUUUUUAAUCCAGCGUUGUCUUGCCAGGCACGUGCAGAGCUAGCAGAGUUUUCUGGUUGGAUGCAAAGUAUUGGUAAUGGUUCCAUUACGAUGCACUAUAAGGGUGAAGAGUGUUCACCGUCUUGGGUUUCCAUCCCUGAAGAUAUGUUACUUUUUCCUACUAUAGAUAACAUGGAAGCUACUGUUGAUGAUGUAUACGAUGGGUUCUAUUUAAAAUACAAUGACGGUGACUAUCUGUCCCGCCGAGCUAUUGUUUGUCCAACAAAUUCAAUUGUAGAUAAAUUAAAUGAUGUUGUCUUCAAGCGUGUACCUGGGCUUCCUACCGAUUGUUUAAGUUAUGAUUCCAUAUCAAAAACUACAGACUCUGCUGGUGAAGUGGAACUGUUUUACCCUCCCGGGUUAUUGAAUUCCAUCACUAUAAAUAAUUUUUCCCAUCAUAAGAUUUCACUUAAGGUGGUUUUAGAGGGAGAAAUCAUCACUGGUUCUAAUAAAGGGCAGCGCGUGUGCGUUCCAUGUAUAGUUCUGAAUUCAGCAGGGUCUAAGUGGCCAUUCACACUACGACGGUGUCAAUUUCCAAUAAGGAUGUGUUAUGCAAUGACAAUCAAUAAGAGCCAGGGACAAACAUUAUCUAAGAUGUGCGUGUAUUUACGAGAGCCUGUAUUUUCGCACGGGCAACUGUAUGUUGCAGUAUCACGCGUUAUUUCGCGUAGUGGUCUCAAGUUCCUGAUUGAGGAUGAUCAUGGAUGUCCAGCUUCCGAGACAAGAAAUGUAGUCUACAAAAAAGUUAUCUUACGACUAUAG
rnacentral:rRNA from 1 species